UUUUCAGGUUCCUCUUGAAGGACACAGCAAUUUAUUGAUAUGUACCAACAACGUUCACAGCAGCCACCAACCUGGCAUGCAGCUGCCUAAGACUCAUUAUGGCCACUUUCUGGAAGAAAGGAGAGGAAUUACAUUACCUUACACCUUUCCCCAUAGAGAUAUCUGGAAGCAGAGCCACUACUUUAGACUUUGACAA